UACGAAGGGGGCUAGCGUUGUUCGGAAUUACUGGGCGUAAAGCGCGCGCAGGCGGUCUUCCAAGUCAGUGGUGAAAGCCUGGAGCUCAACUCCAGAACUGCCAUUGAAACUGUUAGACUUGAGUACGAGAGAGGUGAGUGGAAUUCCCAGUGUAGAGGUGAAAUUCGUAGAUAUUCGCAAGAACAACCGGUGGCGAAGGCGGCCAACUGGACCAUUACUGACGCUGAGGCGCGAAAGCGUGGGGAGCAAACAGG
rnacentral:rRNA from 1 species